UAGCUCAGCUGGGAGAGCGUCUGCCUUACAAGCAGAAUGUCGGCGGUUCGAUCCCG
rnacentral:tRNA from 1 species